rnacentral:rRNA from 1 species
AGAAUCAACGCUGGCGGCGUGCCUAACACAUGCAAGUCGAACGCGAAAGGGGAGCAAUCCCUGAGUAGAGUGGCAAACGGGUGAGUAACACGUGGGUGACCUGCCUUCGAGUGGGGGAUAACGUUCCGAAAGGAACGCUAAUACCGCAUGACAUCCUGCUUUUGGAAGAGCGGCGAUCAAAGCUGGGGAUUCGCAAGAACCUAGCGCUUGAAGAGGGGCCCGCGCCUGAUUAGCUAGUUGGUGAGGUAACGGCUCACCAAGGCUACGAUCAGUA